rnacentral:rRNA from 2 species
CGGAGGUCAGCGGCGGACGGGUGAGUAACACGUGGGCAACCUGCCUGUAAGACUGGGAUAACUCCGGGAAACCGGAGCUAAUACCGGAUAGUAUCUUGAACCGCAUGGUUCAAGUUGGAAAGACGGUUUCGGCUGUCACUUACAGAUGGGCCCGCGGCGCAUUAGCUAGUUGGUGAGGUAAUGGCUCACCAAGGCAACGAUGCGUAGCCGACCUGAGAGGGUGAUCGGCCACACUGGGACUGAGACACGGCCCAGACUCCUACGGGAGGCAGCAGUAGGGAAUCUUCCGCAAUGGACGAAAGUCUGACGGAGCAACGCCGCGUGAGUGAUGAAGGUUUUCGGAUCGUAAAACUCUGUUGUUAGGGAAGAACAAGUGCGAGAGUAACUGCUCGCACCUUGACGGUACCUAACCAGAAAGCCACGGCUAACUACGUGCCAGCAGCCGCGGUAAUACGUAGGUGGCAAGCGUUGUCCGGAAUUAUUGGGCGUAAAGCGCGCGCAGGCGGUUUCUUAAGUCUGAUGUGAAAGCCCCCGGCUCAACCGGGGAGGGUCAUUGGAAACUGGGAAACUUGAGUGCAGAAGAGGAGAGUGGAAUUCCACGUGUAGCGGUGAAAUGCGUAGAGAUGUGGAGGAACACCAGUGGCGAAGGCGACUCUCUGGUCUGUAACUGACGCUGAGGCGCGAAAGCGUGGGGAGCGAACAGGAUUAGAUACCCUGGUAGUCCACGCCGUAAACGAUGAGUGCUAAGUGUUAGAGGGUUUCCGCCCUUUAGUGCUGCAGCUAACGCAUUAAGCACUCCGCCUGGGGAGUACGGUCGCAAGACUGAAACUCAAAGGAAUUGACGGGGGCCCGCACAAGCGGUGGAGCAUGUGGUUUAAUUCGAAGCAACGCGAAGAACCUUACCAGGUCUUGACAUCCUUUGCCACUUCUAGAGAUAGAAGGUUCCCCUUCGGGGGACAAAGUGACAGGUGGUGCAUGGUUGUCGUCAGCUCGUGUCGUGAGAUGUUGGGUUAAGUCCCGCAACGAGCGCAACCCUUGAUCUUAGUUGCCAGCAUUCAGUUGGGCACUCUAAGGUGACUGCCGGUGACAACCCGGAGGAAGGUGGGGAUGACGUCAAUCAUCAUGCCCC